UAAGAAUGAAAAUAACUUUUUGCGCAUUGUUUUUAAUAAAUUUUCUGGGAAUGGUGCUACUUGUGGUUGCGGAAGAAGAUGUUUUCAAAAAAUUGUUGGAUAAGAUUCCGAACGUUAGAAGUUCCGCUAUAAAAUUGCCACAGCCAAAACGGGUAAAUCCAUUUUUAAGGUACAGAAACGAUACCAAAGUUAUGCCCCUCUCCAAGCAUUUGUCACAGAGAGAGCGCUUGACAAUAUUUGAAGACUGCCAGUCAAUAGGUGGAGUGUGCAGAUUGCCCGAGGAAUGUUGCACCCUAAAGUGUUUAAAGCUAUCCAAACUAUGUGUUAUUUAAAAUCGGAUUUGGUCUAUCGAAAUUAAGUCAAACACGAGAUAACUGCAUACUUGCUUUAAUUAUGUAUAUAUCGUAUAUCCUACUAAUUAUUUAUGUUAUUCACAUUGAACGUUAACGAUUAAGUAUUACUAGUAAACAG